rnacentral:rRNA from 1 species
UCUAAUACCGGAUAUGACCAAAGGCUGCAUGGUUUUUGGUGGAAAGGUUUACUGGUGCAGGAUGGGCCCGCGGCCUAUCAGCUUGUUGGUGGGGUAAUGGCCUACCAAGGCGACGACGGGUAGCCGACCUGAGAGGGUGACCGGCCACACUGGGACUGAGACACGGCCCAGACUCCUACGGGAGGCAGCAGUGGGGAAUAUUGCACAAUGGGCGAAAGCCUGAUGCAGCGACGCCGCGUGAGGGAUGACGGCCUUCGGGUUGUAAACCUCUUUCAGCAGGGACGAAGCGAAAGUGACGGUACCUGCAGAAGAAGCACCGGCCAACUACGUGCCAGCAGCCGCGGUAAUACGUAGGGUGCAAGCGUUGUCCGGAAUUACUGGGCGUAAAGAGCUCGUAGGCGGUUUGUCGCGUCGUCUGUGAAAACUCGAGGCUCAACCUCGAGCUUGCAGGCGAUACGGGCAGACUUGAGUACUGCAGGGGAGACUGGAAUUCCUGGUGUAGCGGUGAAAUGCGCAGAUAUCAGGAGGAACACCGGUGGCGAAGGCGGGUCUCUGGGCAGUAACUGACGCUGAGGAGCGAA